rnacentral:rRNA from 1 species
UACGGAGGGGGCUAGCGUUGUUCGGAAUUACUGGGCGUAAAGCGCACGUAGGCGGCUUUGUAAGUUAGAGGUGAAAGCCCGGGGCUCAACUCCGGAAUUGCCUUUAAGACUGCAUCGCUAGAAUUGUGGAGAGGUAAGUGGAAUUCCGAGUGUAGAGGUGAAAUUCGUAGAUAUCGGGAGGAACACCGGUGGCGAAGGCGGCGACCUGGGUAGAUACUGACGCUGAGGUGCGAAAGCGUGGGGAGCAGACAGG